GCAUUAGUAGCUCAGUUUUAGAGCAUCGGUCUUGUAAACCGGAUGUCGGAGGUUAAAUUCCCCCCUACUGCU
rnacentral:tRNA from 1 species